AGAGUUGAUCCUGGCUCAGAUUGAAUACUGGCGGCGGCCUAACACAUGCAAGUCGAGCGGUAGCACAGAGAGCUUGCUCUCGGGUGACGAGCGGCGGACGGGUGAGUAAUGUCUGGGAAACUGCCUGAUGGAGGGGGAUAACUACUGGAAACGGUAGCUAAUACCGCAUAACGUCGCAAGACCAAAGUGGGGGACCUUCGGGCCUCAUGCCAUCAGAUGUGCCCAGAUGGGAUUAGCUAGUAGGUGGGGUAAUGGCUCACCUAGGCGACGAUCCCUAGCUGGUCUGAGAGGAUGACCAGCCACACUGGAACUGAGACACGGUCCAGACACCUACGGGAGGCAGCAGUGGGGAAUAUUGCACAAUGGGCGCAAGCCUGAUGCAGCCAUGCCGCGUGUAUGAAGAAGGCCUUCGGGUUGUAAAGUACUUUCAGCGGGGAGGAAGGUGUUGUGGUUAAUAACCGCAACAAUUGACGUUACCCGCAGAAGAAGCACCGGCUAACUCCGUGCCAGCAGCCGCGGUAAUACGGAGGGUGCAAGCGUUAAUCGGAAUUACUGGGCGUAAAGCGCACGCAGGCGGUCUGUCAAGUCGGAUGUGAAAUCCCCGGGCUCAACCUGGGAACUGCAUUCGAAACUGGCAGGCUUGAGUCUCGUAGAGGGGGGUAGAAUUCCAGGUGUAGCGGUGAAAUGCGUAGAGAUCUGGAGGAAUACCGGUGGCGAAGGCGGCCCCCUGGACGAAGACUGACGCUCAGGUGCGAAAGCGUGGGGAGCAAACAGGAUUAGAUACCCUGGUAGUCCACGCCGUAAACGAUGUCUAUUUGGAGGUUGUUCCCUUGAGGAGUGGCUUCCGGAGUAACGCGUUAAAUAGACCGCCUGGGGAGUACGGCCGCAAGGUUAAAACUCAAAUGAAUUGACGGGGGCCCGCACAAGCGGUGGAGCAUGUGGUUUAAUUCGAUGCAACGCGAAGAACCUUACCUGGUCUUGACAUCCACAGAACUUUCCAGAGAUGGAUUGGUGCCUUCGGGAACUGUGAGACAGGUGCUGCAUGGCUGUCGUCAGCUCGUGUUGUGAAAUGUUGGGUUAAGUCCCGCAACGAGCGCAACCCUUAUCCUUUGUUGCCAGCGGUUAGGCCGGGAACUCAAAGGAGACUGCCAGUGAUAAACUGGAGGAAGGUGGGGAUGACGUCAAGUCAUCAUGGCCCUUACGACCAGGGCUACACACGUGCUACAAUGGCAUAUACAAAGAGAAGCGACCUCGCGAGAGCAAGCGGACCUCAUAAAGUAUGUCGUAGUCCGGAUUGGAGUCUGCAACUCGACUCCAUGGAGUCGGAAUCGCUAGUAAUCGUGGAUCAGAAUGCCACGGUGAAUACGUUCCCGGGCCUUGUACACCCCGCCCGUCACACCAUGGGAGUGGGUUGCAAAAGAAGUAGGUAGCUUAACCUUCGGGAGGGCGCUUACCAC
rnacentral:rRNA from 2 species